AACGAACGCUGGCGGCAUGCCUAACACAUGCAAGUCGAACGAGACCUUCGGGUCUAGUUGCGCACGGGUGCGUAACGCGUGGGAACCUUCCCUUAGGUUCGGAAUAACUCCCCGAAAGGGGGGCUAAUACCGGAUAAUGUCUGCGGACCAAAGAUUUAUCGCCUUUGGAUGGGCCCGCGUUGGAUUAGCUAGUUGGUAUGGUAAAAGCCUACCAAGGCGACGAUACAUAGCUGGUCUGAGAGGAUGAUCAGCCACACUGGGACUGAGACACGGCCCAGACUACUACGGGAGGCAGCAGUGGGGAAUAUUGGACAAUGGGCGAAAGCCUGAUCCAGCAAUGCCGCGUGAGUGAUGAAGGCCUUAGGGUUGUAAAGCUCUUUUACCCGGGAUGAUAAUGACAGUACCGGGAGAAUAAGCUCCGGCUAACUCCGUG
rnacentral:rRNA from 1 species